CUGCCUGUAGAUUUGCGUCCUAUAGAAAAAGCAUAGAUUGUUUUUCCUUUCUAUAUAUUAGCCAUUUUCAUAUGUCCUGCAAGCGCAUUUGAUAUCCUUAUGUGUAUUAAGUGGACUGGGGGGAAUGGAGCUACUUAGCCUGCCUGGAAAGCCCCCUAGAAGAAGCUUCACCCCGUUCUGCCAACUACCAGGGCCAACCAACUACCAGGACAGCACUUAAGAGAGAAACCCGACAUAGGUGACCUGGCACUGUCUUCACUUGUUCAUCUGAAAAUGUUUCUGAGAGUGCUGCGUGUGCUCCCGGGACUGGGUGGGGCAGUGGCACCUACUUGUAGCAGCUGCUCCAGCCGCGGCCAAGCACUGAGGCCUCAGCCUCAGUGAGUUGUCGCAGCCUGUUUGUCUCCAGAGGCCAGGCAGUGGCUGAGUCAGAGGACCAGGGUGGCUCCCCUACGUUAUGGGGCAGAAAUGAAAACACCUAAGGGCUCCCUCUUCAGUUCCGUGCCUUGUCUAGAAACACACUGGCUCUUUUGACAGUGAAACUUGUUCUAACACCUUUGUGAGUCGAACCCUGCAAGGACGUCUGUCUCAUCCCAGGUUAUCCUGUUAAUUUUUUCUGAACUUUUGUUAUGUUCUUAAUCCUUAGCAUUCUUGGAGCUCGGGAAUGAAGUUUCGUGUUAUAUGUGUGACUACAAAGUACAGGCAUUUGGGAUGAAUACUUAGAAAUUAAAGUAGAACUUUUGAAACCUGUGUGUCUGGACAUCUUACAUUUUAGGGUCUUAAAAUGAGAAAAAAAAGCUGAAUAGCCAAUUGUCUUUACAAAUCUGAAAGGAAGCAAGUUCUAAUUCAGUUAGCUUGAGCUCUGAGUGUGCUAGUAUUCAGU
rnacentral:lncRNA from 1 species